rnacentral:lncRNA from 1 species
GGCUUUUGGGGCCGGCAUCAGUGUUUAGAGCUGUGGAUUGAGGAAGAAACUAGAGACCAUUCUCUCGUUUCUCGUGAAAUAUCCUCUCCUCAUCGUGCUCCCUGCCACAGAGAGAGAGGCCUGGGAGAGCCACCGAUGGAGGGGGCCGUCAGGAUGUGGUCGGCGAGGACAAGGAUUGGCGGGUUUAUCAUCAUUCAAUGAUGUGGCUGUUGACUUCACCUGGGGGAGUGGAAGCUAUUAGACCCUGUUCAGAAGAACCUCUACCAGGAUGUGAUGUUGGAAAAUUACAACAACCUAGUGUCACUGGGUUAUCAAGCUACCAAGCCAGAAGCAAUAUUCCAGUUGGGGAAAGAAGAACAAGGAAUAGUAGAGAGAGAAUUCCCAAGUUGGUGCAGUCCAGCACGAUGGAAUUUAGUCGCCAGAAAAUGACCAUCUCGCUAUCUGUAAGAAGCAUCUUCCAAGACUGCUGCUUCCAUGUGCACGCCUGGUUUCAAAGUCUGUAGACAUCUUGUGUUCCGCGAAGGUGCUACUGAGUCUGCACAAGAGCGUGACUACGGCAGUGAGUGAAGAGGCUACGGAAACCUGCUAGUCCUCAAGCGAAUGUUUGUGCGACUCCAGCUGUAGGGGGCUUCUUGGAAAUGACCACAGAAUGGCUGCCACUGUUCUGGACAUCACAUCAACGGGCCCUCCAGAGCCAAAAGGAUGAAGAUAAACAAAAAAACUGGCUUCAUUCACAUGCCUGUCUCAUUUUAUAAAGGAGGAAAACAUCGGCCAGCUGCGGUGGCUUAUGCCUGUAAUCCCAGCACUUUGGGAGGCCAAGUCCACCAGGGAUCGUGGCACGUUACAUAGUGGUGCCCCGAACAGCGACAGAAUCAGGUGCUCUACAAGUGGCACUCAAACAGGCGACAGUCUGAACACGGGACUAUGAGGAUGUGAAUGAAGAAGAUUUCCUGGAACAGAGGAACUGAAAUUGACAACGCAAAUGGGGACCCUGGGAUGAGUCAGCUGGCAGCGCACGUGAGUCUGUAAAAUCGGAUGGACCGCCAAUCGGAGAAUGAGAGCUGCCCAGCCUGGUCUUACAUUCUUUCAAUUAAUUCAUAAACAGGGGGAUAUGCAGGGAGCCGAAGGCCCAUGGGACGUGACCAACUCAGCAUUCCACUGGAGGCUAUAUGAUCAAACAGCAAACUGUUUAUCAUGAAUACAGGAUGUGAGCAAACUCACGACUGUGCCUGCCGCCAGAAGGUUUGCUGAGGGCAAUCGCUUCCUGACGCCGAGCUCUUUGAAGUUAUCUACUGGAACAUCUAGAGAAUGCAGUCUUGCAAGCCUACUCUGGACCAACCAACUGACCUCUUCUUCCACCCCUCUUCUCACUAUCGCUUUUGUCUAAUAAAUACAGAGGGCCGUGUAAAGCUCAGGGCCUUGUCCACUAGAGGCAAGGUGCCCCCG